rnacentral:rRNA from 1 species
AUGGAUUUGUUUUGCGCCGGGGAUGAGUUUUUGCUGGCCAAGUGCAAGGAGACAUGCUCCUGGUUUCUGAGCGCGAAGUCUCUCAUGAUGCACUCGUUGGCCCUGGCGUUGGAAGUGACUACGGACGAGCGGAAGCGGUUACUUCCUAAGGGCAAGGGGGCAGUCCCAAUUGAUAUUCUCCAGUGGGCAAUGGCAGAGGCGAUGGAGUCUCCAGCUCACCGACAGCGAGCCCGCCGGUACGAAUACCACUCCCGCCACUCCUCAUCGAAUCCAGAGGCGGAAGGGCCGGUGAAUUUGCGUAUUAUCUAG